rnacentral:rRNA from 1 species
CCUACGGGGAGGCAGCAGCAGGGAAUAUUGCACAAUGGGCGAAAGCCUGAUGCAGCGACACCGCGUGUGGGAUGAAGGCCUUCGGGUUGUAAACCACUUUCAGGAGGGACGAAAAUGACGGUACCUCCAGAAGAAGGCCCGGCCAACUACGUGCCAGCAGCCGCGGUAAUACGUAGGGGCCAAACGUUGUCCGGAUUUAUUGGGCGUAAAGGGCUCGUAGGCGGUUCAACAAGUCGGUCGUGAAAACCCGGGGCUCAACCCCGGGACGCCGGUCGAAACUGUUGUGACUAGGGUCCGGUAGAGGUGAGUGGAAUUCUCGGUGUAGCGGUGGAAUGCGCAGAUAUCGAGAGGAACACCAGUAGCGAAGGCGGCUCACUGGGCCGGUACCGACGCUGAGGAGCGAAAGCAUGGGGAGCAAACAGGAUUAGAUACCCUGGUAGUCCAUGCCGUAAACGAUGAACACUAGGUGUGGCGGAUUCAUUGACAUCUGCCGUGCCGUAGCUAACGCAUUAAGUGUUCCGCCUGGGGAGUACGGCCGCAAGGCUAAAACUCAAAGGAAUUGACGGGGCCCCGCACAAGCGGCGGAGCAUGCGGCUUAAUUCGAUGCAACCCGAAGAACCUUACCUGGACUUGACAUCAUGGGUCUACCUGUAGAAAUAUAGGGUGCUUAUGCGCCCAUGACAGGUGGUGCAUGGCUGUCGUCAGCUCGUGUCGUGAGAUGUUGGGUUAAGUCCCGCAACGAGCGCAACCCCUGUCCUAUGUUGCCAGCACGUAAUGGUGGGGACUCAUGGGAGACUGCCGGGGAUAACUCGGAGGAAGGCGGGGAUGACGUCAAGUCAUCAUGCCCCUUAUGUCCAGGGCUGCACGCAUGCUACAAUGGGUGGUACAACGGGCUGCGAACCUGCAAGGGUAAGCGAAUCCCUGAAAGCCAUCCCUAGUUCGGAUUGGAGUCUGCAACUCGACUCCAUGAAGCCGGAGUCGCUAGUAAUCGUGGAUCAGCAAAGCCGCGGUGAAUACGUUCUCGGGGCUUGUACACACCGCCCGCCACAUCACGGAAGUCGGUAACGCCCGAAGUCAGUGGCCCAACCCUUUUGGGAGGGAGCUGCCGAAGGUGGGAUCGGUGACUGGGAUGAAGUCGUAACAAGGUAACC